rnacentral:tRNA from 3 species
GCGCCCGUAGCUCAGCUGGAUAGAGCGACAGACUUCUAAUCUGUGGGUCGCAGGUUCGAAUCCUGCCGGGCGCGCCA